GUAGGUGGCAAGCGUUGUCCGGAAUUAUUGGGCGUAAAGCGCGCGCAGGUGGUUCCUUAAGUCUGAUGUGAAAGCCCCCGGCUCAACCGGGGAGGGUCAUUGGAAACUGGGGAACUUGAGUGCAGGAGAGGAAAGUGGAAUUCCACGUGUAGCGGUGAAAUGCGUAGAUAUGUGGAGGAACACCAGUGGCGAAGGCGACUUUCUGGCCUGUAACUGACACUGAGGCGCGAAAGCGUGGGGAGCAAACAGGAUUAGAUACCCUGGUAGUCCACGCCGUAAACGAUGAGUGCUAAGUGUUGGGGGGUUUCCGCCCCUCAGUGCUGCAGCUAACGCAUUAAGCACUCCGCCUGGGGAGUACGGUCGCAAAGACUG
rnacentral:rRNA from 1 species